UCAAGGUUGAUACGAUCGAACAGCGCUG
rnacentral:sRNA from 1 species